rnacentral:rRNA from 1 species
UACGGGGGGUGCAAACGUUGCUCGGAAUUAUUGGGCGUAAAGCGCACGUAGGCGGUCUGGUAAGUCGGGUGUGAAAGCCCGGGGCUUAACCCCGGAAGUGCACUCGAAACUGUCAGGCUUGAGUAUGGAAGAGGGUCUCGGAAUUCCCGGUGUAGAGGUGAAAUUCGUAGAUAUCGGGAGGAACACCAGUGGCGAAGGCGGAGACCUGGGCCAAUACUGACGCUGAGGUGCGAAAGCGUGGGGAGCAAACAGG